rnacentral:rRNA from 1 species
UUGGAGGGCAAGUCUGGUGCCAGCAGCCGCGGUAAUUCCAGCUCCAAUAGCGUAUAUUAAAGUUGUUGCAGUUAAAAAGCUCGUAGUUGAAUUUCGGGAUCAGAUUGUCGGUCGUGCCUCGGUACGUACUGGCAUUAUUGGUUCCUACCUUCUGAAGAACCGCGAUGUCAUUAAUUUGGUGUCGUGGGGAAUCAGGACUGUUACUUUGAAAAAUUAGAGUGUUUAAAGCAGGCGCACGCUUGAAUACAUUAGCAUGGAAUAAUGAAAUAGGACGUUUGAUUCUAUUUUGUUGGUUUCUAGGAUUGACGUAAUGAUUAAUAGGGAUAGUUGGGGGCAUUAGUAUUCAAUUGUCAGAGGUGAAAUUCUUGGAUUUAUUGAAGACUAACUACUGCGAAAGCAUUUGCCAAGGAUGUUUUCAUUAAUCAAGAACGAAAGUUAGGGGAUCGAAGACGAUCAGAUACCGUCGUAGUCUUAACCAUAAACUAUGCCGACUAGGGAUCGGAUGAUGUUAAUUUUUAAUGACUCAUUCGGCGCCUUAC